CCCUUAGAUGCUCUGGGCCGCACGCGCGCUACACUGAUCCGUUCAUCGAGCUUACAACCUUGAUUGAGAAAUCUGGGUAAUCUUUUUAAAUCGGAUCGUGCUGGGGAUAGAUUAUUGUAAUUUUUAAUCUUCAACGAGGAAUUCCUAGUAGACGCAAGUCAUCAACUUGCAUCGAUUACGUCCCUGCCCUUUGUACACACCGCCCGUCGCUCCUACCGAUUGAAUGGUCCGGUGAAGCGUUUGGACUAUGGUUUUCUGACGGUUCGCCAUUGGAUUACCGUGGGAAAUUCGUUAAACCUUAUCACUUAGAGGAAGGAGAAGUCGUAACA
rnacentral:rRNA from 1 species